CAGAAAUGAAUUGAAUUAUUCCUGUAUUCACUAUGAUCUGGUAACUCACAAGCAUAUAUAGUAUUGGAGAGACCAAAGAGAGUUUAUUCAUACUGUAACGUCUCAGAUGCAUUCAUUCUAUAUAAUUCUGUCAAACAAAAAAGUGUUCUGUGAAAUGUUCUAAUGAGAAUUUCUCUAAAUAUUACUGAACAUAACAUGAACUUAAAAAAUCCUAAUUUACUAACCUGCUGCUUUUGAGCCUGAUCCUACCAAGGAAGGGAAGCUUCUCAUUUGUCUAUUUAUUUACAAAGAAAUGGAGCAACAGAAGUGGAAUACUGUUUGUAACAUCCCAAUCUCAUACUUAUUCAUCUGAACCAGUAUGUUUCAGCAUGCUAUUGAAAAAGAUAAGUCACUGCCAGCUGUUUUGUGUCUGUGCAAAAACAAAAUGGAAAAAUUGCAGUAUUUUUUAUUAAAAGGCCAAAAAAUGGGAGAAAAAUAAAAGUAGGUCCAAACUUAGGCCAGCUGGUGCUUUGUUUAUUGGUUAUUUUUUUCUAGUAGCUCAUCUUGCUUUUGUAAACUUUGAGAAGGAAUGUUGUGUUGUAACAGUAUCAUUUACUUUUACAGUUACUUGUGUGGGUAACGAGAAGCAACUAUACUUUGUUAGCAUGCAGUAUAAUUAAGUGACACUCUAAAAGAGGUGUUGACAUGCACACGCAUGUCCCUCCCGGAAGCUCAAGCCAGCUGCCAGCACCAGGUACUGAUUGUGUGGGAACCGUCAGCUCCAGCCAGGACCUGAAGGCAGAGAACAGGGCUUGACAGCUGUAACAGGUGAUGGCCCAUGAGUGGGGCUUGGGACAGCCCUGGGAGACACUGGCACCUGGCAGUGAUUGGUGAUGGUGCUUAGAGAAACACCUGCUAUGAACAGAGCAGGGCCCUGAGCAAGGGAUUUUUGGAAAACUGAAGAAGCGAUGGCACAAAGAUCCUUGUCUAUGGAAGGAAAGGUGCUUCCGAGAUCCUAUUCACCUCAUUGUAAGCAUACCAAAACCUGCAGAGAUGCAAGCAAAGGCGAGCGAGAUGAAAUAUGUGAGGCAACCCUUUGGGUUAAAAGCACUCAUGGAGCAGGGGUGUUGUCUGGCAAGGGCUGGGGAACCCCAGUCCUUGGAGUGCUUCAGCCCCUGUUGGAGAAACCCAAUCCAACUGCUUGUGGUUUGAGCAGAGCUUUGGAUUAGAUGAACUCAUGCUUCAGAGGUCGCUUAUGAUACCAGUUUUUCUACAUUCCUAUGUUUACAAGCAUAUACGAGGGAUGUAUACAUUAGUACAGGGUGUUAGAGACUUGCCAGAGUCUAAACAUAACUUUUGACUUUUGAACGGGGUCUGGUUUUGGUUUUCAGCAAACAAGAAAUGGAAAGUUGUGCCUGCGUUCAGUGGGAACAAUUGGAUGGGUGGCAAACAUGUUUGGUCAUAGUACCGCUUUUGUAUCUAUUCCAGCAGUUCUCAUUCCAAUAAAAUCUUUUACACUGUAAA